ACAGCAGCCGCCGCGGGAAUACGAAGGGUGCAAGCGUUACUCGGAAUUACUGGGCGUAAAGCGUGCGUAGGUGGUGGUUUAAGUCCGUUGUGAAAGCCCUGGGCUCAACCUGGGAAUUGCAGUGGAUACUGGGUCACUAGAGUGUGGUAGAGGAUAGUGGAAUUUCCGGUGUAGCGGUGAAAUGCGUAGAGAUCGGGAGGAACAUCAGUGGCGAAGGCGACUAUCUGGGCCAACACUGACACUGAGGCACGAAAGCGUGGGGAGCAAGCAGGAUUAGAUACCCGUGUAGUCCCUGUCUCUUAUAC
rnacentral:rRNA from 1 species